CCCUUAGAUGUUCUGGGCCGCACGCGCGCUACACUGACGAAUGCAACGAGCUUAUAACCUUGGCCGAAAGGUCUGGGUAAUCUCCAAAUUUCGUCGUGAUGGGGAUAGAUUAUUGCAAUUAUUAAUCUUCAACGAGGAAUGCCUAGUAAGCGCAAGUCAUCAGCUUGCAUUGAUUACGUCCCUGCCCUUUGUACACACCGCCCGUCGCGCCUACCGAUUGAAUGGUCCGGUGAAAUCUCGGGACGGCGGCUUGGUCGCUUGCGUCCGACUGCUGAAACUUGAUUAAACCAUAUCAUUUAGAGGAAGGUGAAGUCGUAACA
rnacentral:rRNA from 1 species